GUAGGUGAACCUGCGGAAGGAUCAUUAAUGCUAAAAAAUUUCUUUUCUUUUUGCUUUUCGUGGCCGGCUUGCGUAUUCGCGGUUGGACUGAAUAGCGGAGAAACAGAAAAAAAGCGUAACUCUAUCUUUUAAACGCUUGAAUUUUUUCUUAGUGGAAAAAUUCGACGUCACAAGUAACCUGAGACUUUUUUCUUUUUCAGUAACAGGCGUUUUUUUAUGAUGAAAGAAUGCCUUAACUGGAAAAGGGAAAAUGUUCUCAAUAAUUUUUUAUACCAUAAUUACCCUACUUCUAUAAAUUAUUAGACUGAUAUAAAAUAAACAUUUAUUUUAUAAAUGUGAAAAACAACUCUUAGCAAUGGAUAUCUAGGCUCUC
rnacentral:misc_RNA from 1 species